rnacentral:lncRNA from 1 species
GUGAGAGCCCUGGCUGACCUAAGAAUUAGAAGGGAGUGUCAUGAUGAAUGUUCUGGUGCUUUGAGAUCUCUUAGCUCCUAAGUCUCAAGGGCAUAGCAGUACUCCAGGAUCAGGGUUUGGCUUUACUAAAACUUGAAGACAGGAGUCGCCUGUGCAGGUCAUGGCAAACAUUACUCUGAUAAAUACUUUUGGCCUGAUAUUUAGCUCAAUUUAUUCAGUCAACCCAAGCUAAGAAUGUCCUCUUUUGCGUUACAGAGCCACUUGUGAAGGAAUGAGCGUCUCCCCUGGGGACAGCAGUGACCAGCAGUGACAAACCCAGCCACGAACUGACCUUGCUGUAUGUCUCCCAUGGGAGAGGUGAUGGGUGUGCAGAGACAGGCACUGAGCAUCUCUGAAAGGUUUCUGAGAAAAGAGCCAGAAAUCAAACCUGGAACUUGUUGCUGCUAAUCAAAUCAUGACAGAAAGAGAAACCUACCACAGGAGCUGGAGCUUCAUGAUUUCUAUCAAAAGGGCUCUACUCCUGCAUCUGAGCACCAUUUUAUCCCGGAGUGGUGGGGGACGUAUCGGUGCUAUUCCAAAGAAAAACUCUCAAUUAGGAUUUCAG